rnacentral:rRNA from 1 species
UACGUAGGCAGCAAGCGUUGUUCGGAGUUACUGGGCGUAAAGGGUGUGUAGGCGGUUUUUUAAGUUUGGUGUGAAAUCUCCCGGCUCAACUGGGAGGGUGCGCCGAAUACUGAAUGACUAGAGUGCGGGAGAGAAAAGUGGAAUUCCUGGUGUAGCGGUGAAAUGCGUAGAUAUCAGGAGGAACACCGGUGGUGUAGACGGCUUUCUGGACCGUAACUGACGCUGAGACACGAAAGCGUGGGUAGCAAACAGG